rnacentral:rRNA from 1 species
UACGUAGGGCGCGAGCGUUGUCCGGAAUUAUUGGGCGUAAAGAGCUCGUAGGCGGCUUGUCACGUCGGGUGUGAAAGACCGGGGCUUAACUCCGGUUCUGCAUUCGAUACGGGCUAGCUAGAGUGUGGUAGGGGAGAUCGGAAUUCCUGGUGUAGCGGUGAAAUGCGCAGAUAUCAGGAGGAACACCGGUGGCGAAGGCGGAUCUCUGGGCCAUUACUGACGCUGAGGCACGAAAGCGUGGGGAGCGAACCGG